AGGCUGCAGAGGCAUUUUUGGUUCGACUUUUUGAAGAUGCGUACCAUUCACUGAGGCUAAUUUAUUUGUGUAUGGGAGGGAGGCGCAAAAAAGUGCUCCCCCCCCCCCACCCCCCUUUCACUAUAUUAGUUUGUGGCUACUACUUAUAACCUCACUGACACUAUUUUGUUUGUGGCUACUAAUGUAAGGCAUGCACAAAUAUUCAGGGCAGCAUGUCUUCGUCAAUAUUCAGAGACAAUUGUCUUUAGUUUUAGUCGUUUAAUUAAUCUGUCAUCUGUCGUUCCAUUUUUUGUAACAGAUUUAAAUGACUGUAUUUUGUUCGUGUGUUUUUUUCUUUUCCGUUUCGUUUCAAACAGGAAUCUAUGUGCUAUCCAUGCGAAACGUGUGACCAUCAUGCCGAAGGACAUCCACUUGGCUCGAAGAAUCCGCGGAAGAUCCGAUGCUGGCUGUCCGUGAACGAUAUGUAAAUUAUAUAAAUGAUUAUCUUAUACUUACUAAUUAUUUUAAUUCAUUGUAGAGGCUUACAUAUAGGCAUGACAUUUUAACACCUAAGAUUUAAAGGGGCGGUCAAGUCCGUUUUGCGCAUGCGCGGAAUACUGUACAUUAGAUAGAUAAUUCAAUUGUAAGGGGUUUUGUACAAUGGAAUUUUAGUUACAUUUGUACAAAGUUAUUUGAAAGUGAACCUAAGCUGGUGGGUCAGGGGAGGGGUAACAGAAUUUAGAAACCUGAAAAUAUCAGUUAGAACAAGAGAAGCCCAAUUAGCCUUUCUCACGAUGACGAAUAUCGAUCCGUCAUUUUUGGGUGGCAUCCAAUUCUCAUUAACCAAUGCAGACAAUUAAAAUAAUGCGAAAAGCAAUUCUUCAAAAUAAACGAACCAGUUACAAAGCAAAUUUACCAUCGUUCGUCGAAAAAAUUAUAAAAAGUCGCAGUUAUGUGGACUUAUCUCGCAGAUUUCGGCUGAAAUGCCACCCAAAAAUGGCUGCGCGAGAAAGGCUAAUUGAGAUUUGCACAUAUACAGGGUUCGUAGUGGUCUUUGAAAUCCUUGAAAGUGUUUAAAUUUGAAUGCAGGUCUUUAAGGUCUUUGAAAAAUCUUUGAAUUGUGUGAA
rnacentral:lncRNA from 1 species